GCACAGCUGAAUACUGUGUUCUUUUUACCAGUAGCUUACACAGCCAGACACCACACAAAAGUAAAAUCUUUUAAAAUGGCUAUGAUGGGACAAGCAAAAUUACAACU
rnacentral:snoRNA from 1 species